CUGAGAAUGAUCGUUUCCAGCUUCAUCCAUGUCCCUUCAGAGGACAUGAACUUAUCCUUUUUUAUGGCUGCAUUAAUGUGGCACAUGUACCGCAUGGAAGGUUCAUUUCUAGAAGUUACAGUAUUCAACUGUUCCAGCUCUGUCAGCUUUUAUAGUAGGACCCUUGCACUAAUACCCUAAUGAAGGGAAAAAACCCUGCCAUGCAGUCAGUUGCCUUUUAUAACUGACCCCUGGCCCUUCUCAGUGAAUAACUAAUGGCUAUUCUGGGGUUCCUUUGUUCUUGGGACCUCAGUUGCUCCAUUGAUUUCCUGUGUUUCUUUUCACAUAUUGAUGAUGCCAGAAUGGUCUUUUAGCUGUUGGUGAUUUGAAUGUACCCACUUUUACUUCGGGGCUUUGCAAAAUAUUUGCCACCUAAUUUUAGGAAAUUUUGUCUAUGGGUUUUGGGGUUUGCUGCCUAGUGACUCUGUAUGUUUUUAUUUGGAGAUUUGGAAUAUUCAAAAUUAGGUUUUCACUGCCACCACCGUUUUCCCGGAAUUUCUGAUUCAUUUUUGGAUUAGCUAAGUGUAUUAGAAUAUGUUGAAUAUUAUAAUGUUUAAAAAGAAUAGUAAAACAAUUUGAGUUUUAUUAAACACAGCCAUGGUUGGGUUAUAUAAUAGGUAGCUGUCAUGUGAACAAACUGGUAAUACAUACGUACGUUUAAAAAUUAUAGUAAUGGUAACUACUUUUUUGAUCAUUUACGUGCUGUGCUUAACACUUUGUAUGCAUUAUCUUAAUUAACCAUAGCAGAUGCAUAGUAUCUGUUUUUUCCAUUUCACAGAUGAGAAGACGGAGGCUUAAAGAGGUUAAAUGUGAUUUGGUCAAGGUCAUGAAUUGAUAAAUAAAUUGUGAUGACAAAGAAACAUGAUCAUGUCAAGAAUAAUAGUUCUGUAUAGCCUUGGAAGUUCUGUAAGGUAACUCAAAGAGUCAACAAAAGGGCCCCCCCCCAGGACCUAGGACGGAGACUUGAAGCUCAAGUUUUAUUAGCUUCUGG